UAUGCAAAAAUACAAAAAUUAAAAAUAUAAGUGAAUAUUACAUAAAAAUUCAAUUUUGUUAAACACUAAAAGCAAAAUCUAAUGAACUGCAAAAUAGGAAAAACACCUUCAAUUGAAUAAAAUGAAAACCCUGGACACUUGAAAAUUACAUUAUAGAUACAUAAAUAAAUAAGAAGGAAGAUUUUUAUUAAUUUUUUUUUAAUACCGUAUAUAUAUUACAAUACCUUAUGUAAUAUUUAGAAAUCACUUUUACACAGUAAAUGCCUUGAGGUAGAAUGGGAAUUAACCUUUGUAGCUCUACCAAGUUUACUCAAGGAAGUUGGCAAGGAUACCCGGGGCCAUCUACGCUUUAGUCGUAUGACAGGAAUAUAGAGAGGCUAAUGAAUUGGGAUAAGUGGAUAGUUUUUCAAGGAACCUGGAAAGUUUGGUGGCAUUUUAUUUGCAAAGGGUAUUUUGAGACCGUUGUGGAGGGUGACAUCAGAGACAUAGACGGGGAGAAUGGAAGGAUUGGAAGGACUGAAUUCGUUGGAUAUUGGUCAAACAUGAUUCCAGAUAGAACCUAGGUAGCGUCGGUUUUUAGGGAUAAGAAUGUUGUUGAAGAAUAUUGCAUGAGGGGUUUUGCUUCAGAGGUGUAAUAUUCUGACUGAACCAACACCAGGAAAAAGACACCGACUUGGACCCCAGUCCCCACUAUACACCGCAUCAAGAUAACUGACCGAAUUGGGCCUGUUAGGACUGUGCCUUCCUGAGGGUUAACUCAGUACACAUUCACUUUGGACAGCUUAUUCUCACAGUUUUGGUCAGACCCAGCACUCAAGCACUGUAAACUGCAAAACAGCAUCUUCAUACAAAUAUUUAUGCAUGAAAUGGUGCUUGCAAUCCUUAUCUUCCAAUGUAGGAUUUGUCUGAACUUUCUAUAGUGAUACACGCAGGUUCUUUCUUAUGACAAGCCAUUUCAUAAAGGCCGCCCAAAGCGGCAUGAACAAUCAAUAAGGCAGGGACGUUCCAACGAUUGAGGAGGCAAAAGAGCAAGACGGCAAAGGGCUAAGGCGGAGCCACGCUGGGUCAGAGAGUUGCUGUUCAGUCACUUUAAGCUUUUAAAAAAAAAAGACAAAGUAAAAAUGCUUGUGAAGAAUUAUUGUAGGGUGGUGCUCAUUCAACAAGGUUCUUUGCUCUAUACUUUAAUCUUGUCCAGUGAAAAGGAUACCGAAAAAUAACUUCAUAUUUAAUUAUAUAAACUAAAUUUUUGUGAUAAGAAAAUAUUCUCUUUCCUCCUUAGUUUCGUUAUAAUAAGUUCUUUAUAAUCAAGUUGUAAUUGAUAACAUUUUAUUGAUUCUAUUAUUUGUUUGUAAUAUAAGAACUUUUUUUAUGUUAAAUAGAUAUUAACUUAUCUUUCCCCAACGUCAUAAAUGCGCUCCCACAACGUUAUAAACACUGGUAGCUGAGCAAAAACUUGUUCUUUGAUUUAAAAAAAAAAAAAAACAC